rnacentral:rRNA from 1 species
UGGGGAAUCUUGGACAAUGGGCGCAAGCCUGAUCCAGCCAUGCCGCGUGAGCGAUGAAGGCCUUAGGGUUGUAAAGCUCUUUCACCGGUGAAGAUAAUGACGGUAGCCGGAGAAGAAGCCCCGGCUAACUCCGUGCCAGCAGCCGCGGUAAUACGGAGGGGGCUAGCGUUGUUCGGAAUUACUGGGCGUAAAGCGCGCGUAGGCGGACCAGAAAGUUGGGGGGUGAAAUCCCGGGGCUCAACCCCGGAACUGCCUCCAAAACUAUUGGUCUAGAGUUCGAGAGAGGUGAGUGGAAUUCCAAGUGUAGAGGUGAAAUUCGUAGAUAUUUGGAGGAACACCAGUGGCGAAGGCGGCUCACUGGCUCGAUACUGACGCUGAGGUGCGAAAGUGUGGGGAGCAAACAGGAUUAGAUACCCUGGUAGUCCACACCGUAAACGAUGAAUGCCAGUCGUCGGGUAGCAUGCUAUUCGGUGACACA